rnacentral:rRNA from 1 species
GCAGUCGAACGAAGUAGCAAUACUUAGUGGCAGACGGGUGAGUAACGUGUAGGUAUCUGCCCUUUGGCCUGGAAUAACACGAGGAAACUUGUGCUAAUACCGGAUAAGUCUUUACGGAGAAAGCUUUAUGCACCAUUGGAUGAGCCUGCACUUGAUUAGUUUGUUGGUGGGGUAACGGCCUACCAAGACUGUGAUCAAUAGCUGAUUUGAGAGGAUGAUCAGCCACAUUGGGACUGAGACACGGCCCAAACUCCUACGGGAGGCAGCAGUGGGGAAUCUUGCACAAUGGAGGAAACUCUGAUGCAGCGAUGCCGCGUGAGUGAAGAAGGCCUUUGGGUUGUAAAGCUCUUUCGUCGGGGAAGAAAAUGACUGUACCCGAAUAAGAAGGUCCGGCUAACUUCGUGCCAGCAGCCGCGGUAAUACGAAGGGACCUAGCGUAGUUCGGAAUUACUGGGCUUAAAGAGUUCGUAGGUGGUUGAAAAAGUUGGUGGUGAAAUCCCAGAGCUUAACUCUGGAACUGCCAUCAAAACUUUUCAGCUAGAGUAUGAUAGAGGAAAGCAGAAUUUCUAGUGUAGAGGUGAAAUUCGUAGAUAUUAGAAAGAAUACCAAUUGCGAAGGCAGCUUUCUGGAUCAUUACUGACACUGAGGAACGAAAGCAUGGGUAGCGAAGAGGAUUAGAUACCCUCGUAGUCCAUGCCGUANACGAUGUGUGUUAGACGUUGGAAAUUUAUUUUCAGUGUCGCAGCGAAAGCGAUAAACACACCGCCUGGGGAGUACGACCGCAAGGUUAAAACUCAAAUGAAUUGACGGGGACCCGCACAAGUAGUGGAGCAUGUGGUUUAAUUCGAAGAUACGCGCAGAACCUUA